GAUUAAAUGGCUGAAGUUUAGGCAAUAGACUGUAAAUCUAUCCAUGAGAAUUAUUCUCUUUAAUCAAA
rnacentral:tRNA from 1 species